CUUCGCCGUAACCGACUCAUCCGCCUUUGCACGGUAGUCUGGCCUCAGUACAAAUUAGAUAAUGAUCCUCAAUGGCCACCCGAGGGGUCUUUACAAUACCCAAUCUUAACCGAUCUGGACAAUUUCUGCCAUUGGCUGGGAAAAUGGGGAGAAAUACCCUAAGUCAUGGCCUUUUGGGACCUCAGGUCUCGCCCCCACCUAUGUUCUUCCUGCCCCUCUGCACGCAUGCUCCUUGCCCGCCCACAACCCCCCGAUCUCCAACCCCGUUAGAGGAUCUGGACACCCCGCCCACCGGCCCUCGCCCCCCUCCAUACUCCCAGCCUCCAGCCAUCCCGCCCUCACCUCCCAUAUCGUCCAGAACUCAUGCCCAGGCCCCUCCCAGCGAACAGACCCCAGCGGCCAUCUCACCUCUCUAUGAGGUGGCAGGACCUGAAGGCCUGGUUCGCAUUCACCUCCCCUUCUCCCUCCAAGACUUAUCCGCCAUGGAAAAGUGACUAGGGUCAUUCUCGGCAGACCCCACCCAAUACGUUAAGGAAUUCCAAUACCUCGCCCAAGCCUACAGUCUCACAUGGCAUGACAUCCAUGUGAUCCUCACCUCUACCCUCACCCCAGAGGAGAGGAAGCGCAUCCAGGCCGCAGCCAGGGAACAUGCAGACCAAACCCACGUGACCGACCCCACUAGGCCCGUAGGGGCUGAUGCUGUCCCAGCGGCCGACCCCCAUUGGAACUACCAACAUGCAGGCAAUGGGCACCGGUGCUGGGACCAGAUGAUCCAGUGCCUACUAGCAGGCAUGAGGGCAACCUCAAAUAAAUCGGGGACGACAGACUCGCGACGCCCCCACGUGGCAAGGCUUCACCCCAAUUGGACUCUACCUUCCAGCUGCCGGAGAUGGAGGAUGACGACUGACGAGGCCCAGACUCAGUAACUCCGGUGACCCACGCUGAGCCCAGGGUACAACUCCAGGGUAGAUAGAAGCCUUCCCCACCUCAUCUGAAGGGGCCUCCACAGUGGCUGAGAUCCUACUCAAGGACAUCAUUCCCUGCUUUGGUCUACCGAGAAGGAUACGGCCUGACAACGGGCCUGCUUUCAUCUCAGCAGUCACCCAACAGGUCUCCAAAGCUUUGGGUGUUACCUGGAAACUCCACAUACCAUACCACCCCCAGUCCUCGGGUAAGGUUGAAAGGGCCAGUGGCCUCAUAAAAGACCAUCUCACUAAACUCUCCACAGAGACUCGGCUUUCUUGGCCUCAACUCCUACCUAUAGCACUCACCCAACUCUGAGCCGCUCCCUGAGGACCCACAGGCCUCAGCCCAUUUGAACUCCUAUACGGGCGACCCUUCCUGUUACCCCAACCCCUACCAAAAGAUCCUCCUCCUUUGGCUGCCUAUCUCCCUUACCUUAGCCUGCUCUGCCACCUGAUCUGACAGCACGCUGACCUUCCCUCUCCAACCUUAAAGAUCUUACCCAAGUAAUCACAGACCAAGAAAACCAGCUCAACACCCAACUACAGACUCCCCCUACACAACAUCCCUUCUCAUGGCUUACACUAAUCAGACAAGAAGCGAUCCUGCUUAACCACUCAGGCUUAACUAAUCUGUCACACUGCUUUCUUUGCGCAUCCCUCCAGCGGGAUCCAGUAAUAGCCGUCCCUUUACCCACCCCCUGUCCCAAUGUCACUAACUCCAUCAACCACCCCAGAAGUCAAACCUCCCUACAGGUUCCCGUCCUCACUGAGAACCCCCCCCCCAUAACACAUCUCACCCGAUAUGCUACUCCUCUCAUGCCUCCCCAACUUGCCCCUCCCCCCUGCCUAUGCCUAGCCACGACCCCCCCCAGGGGGAUUCUAUUGGUGUAAUGGCACAGCUUAUAAACAAAUGCCCAAACAAAUGCUUCUAUCUGUCUCCCAGUCACCAUCAUCCCCCAACUCACCCUAUAUGGACAGGAAGAACUCCCAUCAACUCCUCGAAUUCCGUCUCCAAAAACGAGCCGUUUUCCUCCCACUAACGGUCAGACUAUCCCUGGCCACCUCCCUAUUGGCCGCCAGGGUUGGGACCGGCUCCCUAAUACACUCCAUUAGCUCCUCCAGGGAUCUGUCAGACAGGCUCCAAAUUUCAAUAGGAGCCUCAGCAACUUCCCUAUCCACCUUACAAAGACAGAUCAACACCCUAGCACAGGUCACUCUACAAAACUGACGGGCCCUAGAUCUCUUGACAGCAGAAAAAGGGGGAACAUGCCUAUUCCUGAGAGAGGAAUGUUGCUACUACCUCAAUGAAUCAGGCUUAGUUGAAACCAAUAUAGAACACCUAAAAGAAAUCCAAAAAACCCUAUCCGCCCGCCCAGGAUCCUCAGACCCCCUACCCUCCUGGUGGCAAUCACCCCUCCUAACUUGGCUCCUCACCAUAGUCACUCCACUAGUUGCUAUCUGUAUAAUACUUAUGCUCUUACCUUGUUUUCUCCGUUUUGUAUGGAAAAGAAUUGAUGAAGUUUCCC